AAUGAGUCAUGACAGAUCGCUGUAGCGCCUGAUCAUCUGAUCUGAUACAACUGAUCAUCUCUUCUUCUUUACUAGUUGCAUGAAAUAAACAUGAAUGAACAUCAGAAGGUAUCUUGUUCAAUCAUGGAAAUAUGUCAAUACACCGUACAAGUUUGAUUAGAUUGGCAUCAACAACAAUAAAUGUGUAAAGCAUUUUCUCGAUUUCACUCUGUUUGCUAUGCUAUGCUUGCUUAAUUCUGUGGUAAGUUACAUUUUAUUGCUAGCAUUUAGCAUUUAUUAUUGUUUUUCCUCCAACCAGAACAACCCUUAUGAAAAUGAACCAUGGUUUUAUCAUGUUAAAAGUGUAGUAGGCCUAACCAUGUUUUUUGACUUAUUGAUCUCUAUUUGAAUAAAAACAGUUUAACUACAAAUACCAUGGCUAUUUACUAUGGUUGGUGUAGCAAAACCAUGGUUAAUUUGUGGUUAUGGUUUGACUAUAGUAACCAUGUUUUUUUUUUUUUUUUUUUUUUGUAGUAAAACCAUGGUUAUUUUUCAUAAGGGGACACCUGGCUGCCACCUAUUUACAUUUCAAAUCACAUGCUCAUAGAGGUUAUUGUAGAUUCAUCAAGCUGCUAGAGUAUGUUUUUCUCCACCAAUGAUAAUACACUUCCACCACACUCACUGAAAAGAGUGAGGACCACUUCACUCUCUUAAGCACUCCAACAGAGCUUUCAGCGUGGCACUUAGGACUACUUAUCAGCUUCAUAUUUCAAAAAUAUGUCAGGUGGACCGGAGCAGGAGGAGGCUUGUCCCUUGAUUAAGUGGGCAAUGAAAGAAUUUGUGGUGGAUGUUUUUCAAGGAAGAGCUAUGUUCCAUUCAGAGGAUCAUGUUCGAACUUCAAUAUUUACGAAUGAAGCUAAAAUAGAAAGACAUCUAAAGAGGCAAAUGCAUUAAGAAUACACAGAAAGCACCACUUCUUAAAUAUCCUCAUUUGUCUGUGCACAUAAACUGGAGCUUUCGGACAUGCGCAUGAUGCCCCGUUUCUCUGUGAUGAAUGGUUGAGCUCUCAGCUUUGCAUCAAACAGCCAGUAAUAUAAUUGUGCAAAUAAAUUAAUAUUUGCAUGCAAUUUAUCUGUCCAGAGCAAGGUGUAAAAAAAUGGCUUACAGGCUGAAUGAGAAAUGCGGACACAUGUUAGUUUGGGGGCCAAAUCUCACUAUUAACUGACUACUGACUACGUUUGCUUCAAUAAAUUCUUAAUUUGAUUCUUAUUAAUAGUUAGUAAGGUAGUUGUUAAGUUUAAGUAUGGGGUCGGACUAAGAGAUUUAGAAUAUUGUCAUGCAGAAUAUGUGCUUCAUACGUACUAAUAAAUAGCCAAUAAUAUGCUGGUAAUAUGCAUGCUAUUAAGCAACAAGUUAAUAAUGGCAAUUGGUCCCUAAACUAAAGUGUUACCGAAAAUGCAAAUUCACUCUCUGACAGUAGGUGGCAUUUUUAGAAAAGCAGAAAUACCCCCCUUACUAAAGUGCAAGUCAACUUUCAGUUUCUGACACCUGAUUGUCACAGAGAAGUCAAAAAGUAUUUGCAUGCAGCCAUUCAUUUGAAGCAUUUCAAACAUCUGUUCAUCCACGUUUAUCAAACAAUACCAAAUACAAGAGUACACGGACCAGAGACAGACAACAAAUUCUUCCUCGGCUAUUCGCCGCUUAUCAAAAUAGUCGGUUCAUGAGUGCCACCAUGUUGUAGUUUUAUGUAACAGCAGUGAAAAUCUUAUUGAUCUGGGUUCUUCACGAUGCGAUUGAAAAGAUACUAGAACAUCUAUCUGUAAAAAAAUAAGUUGCAUUGAUAGCAUGUGAAUGCUUCUUGUGCCAGAUGCAAUUAACAGCUUCUCAUUCAAAUUAAAAUGUUUAUUGCACCAAAUUUUCUCACCAAACAUUCGUCUUAUGGUGUUUAGGUGCUGAAAGUGCUGUAAACGCUAUGCAGAUGCAGUUGGUAGAAAUCGUAACAUAGUUUAAAUUUCAAAACCUUAUCUUUUGCCACUGAAAUAUUGCACGAAUCAUCAUUGCACGAGUCAUUAUCUCGAAGAGCACAGGCCCCGCUGAAAGUAACAUAAACAAUCUGGAAAAAAGGGAACUAGGUAGGCGCGACAAGAACUUGUUUUAAACAAGCUCUGCAAGUGGAGCUGAAACAUAAAUGUGACAGUCAGCUGCCUUCCAUCAGUCAUUUUAAACAGCGCUCUGUUUUUUUAUGCAAUGCUAACACCUGUGAAUUGCACCAAGCCAAUGUCAACAGUUCAGGUUGGAAAGUGAGAUGACUCCGGAGCCACAGACCCAAAACAAACAUGCAGAAAAACAAUCAGCGUACAGGCAUCACAGCCCAUCCCAUCCAAGCGUUUCCGGGCACAGAACUCAAGAGCACAGACGCUUCUUUGAAAGCGCUUAGGCGCAGGUGGGCCGAGGGUCUUUUGAAAGGUACACUUUACUGUACAGGAGUAACCAGACCUGGACAGGAUCCUGCUUUUAGUUGACUAGAUGGCAUGUGCAGGAAACGGUAAGUGCUGAGGGAGGUGUACACCUCACACACAUGAAAAGGUGCUCUGAUCUGUCCCACAACAGGCACACAGGGUCUGACCUAGAUUCCCCCCUGUCAUGUAAAAAGCUGCUCUGCCAAGUAAGGCAAAGUGGGAAGGGCUGAGCCGUGGCGCGUAGCUUUGCCCCAUCUCUCUCUCUCUCUCUCUCUCUCUCUCUCUCUCUAUUUCUCGCUCUCCCAAACAUGGGCGGAGUGUAGCGUGGCCUUUUCAAACUCGCCCGGCUGGCAAGCAGACUGGCUUUUGGAAGCAAGCAAUGCUGUUUUGAACUGCUGCCAAAUGAGACAGCCUCUGCCGGUGCAGCUGAAACUUUUUACAGCCACCCCUCACUUCGACAGGAAGAGACACGGGGAGCAAAUUUGUAGGAGAGGGAAAAAAAGAGCAAAAUAAAUCUUUGUAGUGUCUGCAGCUAAGGCACUGCAUCAAGGAUUUCCUUCUGCGCUUUCACGCUCCCCAACUUUGGCAAGGGGCCAUUCGAUAAAAGAUGUUUAAAAGAGAUGUUUUUUUUUUUUUUUUUUUUUUGGGGAGGAUUGAACGGGGAACGGAUGUGCUAGGAAGUGAAGAGUUCAGCGAGUUCAGUAGAUGAGAAAUAUGUAAAUGCAUCAGUAACAAAGGAGCUGUGACGUCACGCACUGUGCUGCCCAGGACACUGCCAGCGAGCAGACGGGACAAACGUGGACUCAUUUGACAAGAUGCCAUCUGCGUCCUAUAAAGCGUAGUCCUGUUUUACAUCAGAGCUUUCUAGCACAGGAAGAAGACCCUGCAAAGCAUGACACGUUGCAGUCACUUCCUCUUUCAUGGUAAGGACUUGAGGACCUGACAAACUUUUAGCGUUAUGACUCCCAUAGCCUAUUUACAUAGUGUUUCGCUACUUCUAACUAAAUGACUACAUGCAAAGUGCAACUUGGAUGAUGAUGUCAAACACAUGGUGAGUCAUAAAGCCAACUGAAUCAGUCAGGCAAAUGAGAUUAACAGAGUGAGGUGUCUUUCAAGACUCUUUGAGGAAGUACCACGAUCUGCUCAUGUCAUGUUUUGCCGAUAAAGAAAUCCAAAACGCAGGCGGUGACAGAACAGCCUCUGGAUGUGUGUAAUGAUUAGCGAGGACUAUAACUCGAAGGCUCAAACUACCUGGGACAGAUGCCAAAUGCUGACAAAGGCAAUCAUUGCAUUCCCAGGGGCGAGCAAAACCAACGCUUCGUCCUCUCACUCUUCCUUUGGGAGGGUUAUUUAUAUUCCUCGAGAAACCACCGAAAGCAUUGACUAAUUGCUGAAGGGGUCGGCCACAUGCUUUGGCUAAAGGGCAUGAAAAAUCGUGUAAGUAUUAACCUGUUCUGGUGUUUCUCGCCUCUUCUACUGGGACCCGUUUGGCUGAUCAAGUGUUUCCCUUGAAUAAUCAAUUCUGAGCCCUUGUUUUCUAGACUGUGUACUUGGAGAUACUGUAACCCGGAAAUAGGGGUACAAGCUGACCCUCUUGAGUUCCCGUAAAAACAAGUGUGUCACGUUUUACAUGCAAGUUUGUUACGGGCGGUAACAAUAACCAUAUCUUUAUGGACACUUUGUGAUUUUCUGCAUGGCGAACCCUCUCGGCUUGAUCUCUGAUUUGUUUUAUGUUACUCAAACUCCCUUUCUUUCUCCACCUCCUCUCUCCCUCUCUCAGUUUCUGUCUUUCACUUUGCAUCCUUUGCCAAAGUGGGCAGGGAGAAAGAGCUCGUGGUGAGGCGGGUGAAACGGAGGCCGCUGUAUGUGCUCUUUCUUCAGCCACAACCCCGAGGAAGAGCAUGUUUGGUGGUAGCACGUUUCUAGGUCUCUCUCCUCGAGAUAGGCGUAGUAUGUGCAUGAGUCUUCUCUUCUCGCCGCCAUGACCCUGCCUUGGGUUCUUUGACGCUGAAGCCUCUAGUCUGCAGGUAUUCCGUUUUUUCACACUUUCGUACUUUGUAAUAUCUUGUAGAUUAUUUUGUCAGAAAUUCUCGUAAAGCAUCAUCGUCGAUUCUUUCACCCAGCUGCUCUGGCUCUCUUGUUCACUGUUGUCUUCCUCUUGUAAACGUGUCUGCUUCACCCCUGAGUCCAUGCCUCGGAUUCCGCCAUUUCUACUACACUAAACGAUUUUCGAAUGAAAUAAUUGUUGAUGUACAUUUGAGAAAUGUUUUUAGGCUCGAAGUUAUUUUAAAAAAUGGCUUGAAGCUAUUUAAAUAGGCUUGAAGCUAUUUAAAAAAUUGUGUUAAUAUUUUCAAAAGUUAUUUUCACGAUGACGUACGCGUUUCUUCACAUAGCAUGCAUGUUCCGUUAGUUUUGGGUGGUGUUGUGCAAUUGAUUUUGGGGUUUGCGUUUGUUUAGGGAUUUGAAUGAUUUAAACAACAUGUAAAUAGUGUUUGGCUGCUACCUUAAUGUUUCUGGAGGAAAAUUAAUACAGUGAUGUGUUUGGAUAUGAUGCUAGUGUUUUGAGGAUGGCCUAUUAAUUCCCCUGAAGUCAAAAAUAUGUUGCACAUCCCUCACAUUGUGUUUUGUUGAAUAGAUUAUGGUCAGUUUUGUAUUAUAUAUUUCUGUUAAAAGAAAGUGCUGGUGAGGAAUCAGCUGUGGCAGAAAUAGUACAUAUUAGAAAGCUUCGACUUAGUUCAUCUUACAUAUACAGUAUGAGAGCAUUGUUUGGCAUUAAAGGAUAUGAUCAAAAGACUUCUUUUUAUAUUCAGCCGGUAUUCUUUCGAAAUGUACGCUUGUCCUGUUUUUAUUCGAAUGCUUUUUUUUUUUUCUUUUUUUUUUUGCAUUUGUAUUGCAAAGUACAUGAAUGUCAAAGGAAACAGAAUAGAGUUAGUUUGGGAAAGAAAAUAAUAAAAAGCAACAGAUUAGGAUGUAAUAGAAUAAAAUUCUUCUCUAAAUGACAUUUGUUACGCAGAAGUAACUGAACAAAAUACUGAUCAAAUAUUAUGGAUAGAAUAAUGUUUUAAUCUAAUUUAAGGUUUGUUUUCAAAUAAAACGACUAAAUUUUAGUUAUUGAUCGUAGUGUUAGAGGGUGGUGACAAUCCAUCAGUCCAACUUUUAUGUAAAUAUGCUCUGCCUUUUUUUUCAAAUUCAUAGUAAAUUCCUUUAAAACGGGAUGAGCAAUCGACGAGAUCUGAUUCUUUAGAAAAGAAAAGGUGACAUCUUUAUUAUUAUUAUUAUUAUUACUAUGAGCUGUUCUAACUUGGAUGAAAUAACACCAAUUGACCACUGAAAUUAAAAAUGCAUUGAUGAAUUUGAUUCAAAUCUUUGUAAAAAAUUACUAAGAGAAGCUCUCAAGAUGGCGUCGACAUGCCACGUGUUUGUGUACUACUGUAAUAAGUGUAUUUUACUCAAAGGGAUUUUUUAGGGACUUUUAAUACAGUCUCUUUCAAAUAGCAAUCAAAUUUUUAAUCAAAUCUUUAUUUAACAGCAGAUCGGCUCUCCACCUGCAAUCAAUUAUGGAAAAGCAAGGCAGAAAAAAAUUAUGCUGUAAGGUUAGUUUGAUGAUUUCACCAUAGAGCAAGGAUUUUUCUUGGGUAAUGUCUUUUUUUGUGCUUUAUUGCUCGUCAUCAGAAGGAAAGAGGGCAGCUAAUUUGCUGCUUUUUAAAGUAGAACCGAGAGACUCGCCAAGGAGGCACAAAAGUUUGCAUAUACAUGUUUAUUUUGUUCAGAGACAUAGAGAGAUGGCAACAGGAAAAAAGUGGAGCGAGGGAGGGAGGAAAGGAGAACAUUUCCUCCACCCCCUGUUCUCCUCAGAUGAACUUAUCAUGUAGCGUCAUAUUUUCUCUCUCUCCCUCUUUUUUUUCCCCUUUCCCAUACAGCCCCGCUCCCUCCUACAUUUACUGUAGCUGACAAUCAGAUGCACUCUGGGCUCCGACCCCACAUUAGCAAACAGGAAGUUUCAAAACAAAUAGAGUUUAACCCUAAAAAUACUUAGAUUUCACUGCAUACACAAUCAAAUCUACAACCUCUUGCUGGAAUAAACAGAAUAGAACACCAGUUUUUGAAGCAUUUUGACUUCAAACUGAAAGUUUUAUUUGGAUGAAGUGUUUAGAACGAGAGCAGAAAAUUCACUGCAGGUGAGAAAACAUGCAGCAUAUGCUCGGAGCCUAUUAGUUACACGGCCCCAGAUGGGGGCAGGGAUCUAAGUCUAAUCUGCAAGGUCUUUGUAUAAAUAAGGCAAGGCAGAAUCCUUAUCAUUGAGUUUCGAUGAGUAACAGCAGGCUCUCCGGAGACCGCGUGACAGAGUCAACCAAGGUCAAGCCAAGCCCAACUUCCUGUUUUUUGGGGGCCGCUAUUUAUGCUUUAAGGGCGUUUCUCUCUGGUGUAGGCUGAUGACAGGAGAUCAUAAGCAGAAUGAUUAAUGACAUUUUCAAAGAGUUACAGCCUUCUGUGGCUUAAUUCUUUCAAGCAGCGGCAUGGAGGGAAUAACUGAGGAGUAAUGUCACAGGUACAGUAACUGGAACAGGAAGAAAAGUGUUGUUAAAUGAAGUUCGGGGAAACUGUAAAAUGAUUCAUACAAAUAAAAAAAAUAUGUUUCAUGCUAAGAUAUCUUGUGCAGCAGUUGAGGCUAAUAUGGUGGUAAUAUGCUAGAACUCACCAAUGGUGAGAACGCGGAUCUACAGCUGUACAAACAAAAGAUUACAGAUGAGAUAGCGACAGUUACUAUUAAUAGUAAAAAAACAAAACAUCUGUUGUUUGUUCAUACCUUAUCUCAUAUUUUCCUGGUUCAUGAGACAUUAUUCUCGGUUAUAUAGAUGCCAAAGGGAUUUUCAAUGGGGAAGCUCCCCUCCUACGUUAAAUUAUCGCUUCACAAAGGCAUUGUCUCAAGUUCCGUAUUUUUUAUUUUAUUUUACGAAUUGUGGCCUCUUACUCUUCCUCUGCCAACAUCCCCCACCCUUCAAUGCUCUACCCACCACCCUCUUCUCCGUUCAUUGAAAUUCAGCCUGGCAUACAGGCACUGCCCCUUUCUUGGCACCACUCGGCGACAGAAAGGAGGGGAGAAAAUUACAAUGAAAACAAGUAUAUGUACCAAUUUCUCAAUCACUGAGCUUGUGCCAAACAGUAAACCGGUUUCGGUGGAUCUGAUGCGAGGUUAUCGAUAGCCAUUUUUGGUGUACGAUUUCAGCAAAUAUUGUAAUCACAUAUGGUCUUGGCAACCAUAACGCAGUGGGAGGCGUACAGCAGGCUAAUUGAUUUGCCUGUUUACCUCCUGCGAGUGGACGGUCACGAGGGCUAACGGCUGUGUACUUUGAUCGCUAGGUAAGAUAGAAGGCCUUUUGUUGAUCUGAUUGGAUUUGUUUACCCCUUUUCCGAUUUGUAAAACCCUCAGACAGGGAAGUACGAUGAUCCUUUGUGGCUAUAAAAUGUUUGGUAUAUGAUUACGCCAAGAGGUGGUAUGGCAUAGGUGAUGCAUAAACAAAUGCAGGCAAUUAAAAAUGGCAGACAUUUAUCAAGGGCUUUAGCUGUUUCUGGAUAGAUGAGUAUGUUUUUAAGGUUAAAUGUCCAUUUUAUAGCAGGCUUUGUCAUGUAUAUCACAGGGUGCAAAGAUUAUUUUAACCUUUGUGAUGUUUUUCAUAUGUUAGAGACACAGACUCUGUUCCAAAACCUAGUGAGCUGCCUACGUAGGGAGUGUUUUAAGUCAUCAUAGGCGCACUCCUGAUGUGAAGGCUGUUCCAAAAGGUAAGAUACUUCACUUUAGCCAGAUUUUGAGCAUUGUAAUGCAUUUCAUGAGUCCUUCAAUGAGAAGUCAAUCAAUCCCAGAAUGCAUUGCAAGUUUAACGAUUUUUCAAAGAUUGAUGCCAUUAUAUAACAAAAUGUCUAUAAAAAACCCAUAUAAAAUCUAAUUUUAAAAAGUAUAUUACUCAGUAUUGUAAUGUGCAUUUUAAAGUGUAGUAAAGUAGUCUUAGCUUAGCCACAUGCUAACACCAGACUCGAUUGAAAUCAGUCUUGAGUCGAGUCUGUGCUUUCCACAGUCUUCUAAAUCAGUCACUUAUAAUACUGCCUAUGCAGUUCACUAGGUUUUUGAAAAAGACCAUUUAGUCUGCAGAGGGCAACUGUACACUCUUUUAAUUCAGAUUAAGAUGCUUAAUACAUAAUGCAGUGCAAAGUCCUUGACAAAAAUGCAUGCUGUGACAGUUAUUAACUUAUUUGGUUAUUAAUCUGGCUCCCAUGUUUAGGCUAUAAGCUAAAGCUGAUUUAAACAUGUUGAAUUAUUAACAUAAGGACACUAAUGCCUGUGAUGCUAUGAAGUAUUACAUGCAGAUUUGUAAGUGCUAAGUUGUAUAUGUUAACACUAUGACUUUGUGUUGCAAGCCUGCAUGCAUUCAGUUCAAGAGGCUUGCUUUUUAAAUUUAAAGAAUAACAAAACAUUAUAACAUUCUAAAACUAAUCAAUAACCUAUUUUGAAUUCCAUUCUAAAAUAUAACUUAGUUUUUAAUAGGCUUUGUCAGCAUUAAGCGAAGACAAUUUUUGGCAUGUCAUUUAAGCAUGUGUUUUUUAUUUAUUAUAUAUGUAUAUAUCUAAUUAAGUGUAAAAUUUAGCAGGCAUUUAAAGUCACAUUUCAAUCACUUAGUGGAAAUCCGCUUUCAAUACUGUGCUGUUAGGGUGUGGUGAUAAUCAUAUUCAUUGUUUUUGUCGUUAGCAUUUAGCUCUUAUCAUUCUCUUAGAUGAUUCUCUUAGUCCUUUAGUGCCAUACAGAACAAUUAAGUGUACUUUUCAUAAAUACUUCAUUUUUGUGGGCUCAUUAAUGCAAACCGUUUCCUCAUGUCAUUGAAAAAAGUGUUGAUAGAUAUAUCUAACUAAUAUAGCCAUCAAAAGACUAUUUAAAUAUUGCUGCAGUUCUAUUUUAUGGUAUCUUAUGAUUCCAUUUUCAAUUCCACCCACACUGUCUACACUGAAAGCAACAGAUAAUCUCUAAAUACUCUCUUAAAUACCCAUGUCGUAAAAAUCAGGGCAUUUGUGUCUAAUUUGCAUUAGCAUUAGCGUUACAUAUUUUUAAAACACGACUAAAGAGGUCAUUUACAUAUGAAAAAAUCCAAGCGGCACUAAAAUGGACCUAAAUACCUGGCAAAGCACCAAAAAAAAACUGGUUAGUCCCCAUCAACACGAUUAGUGCAUAUAGGGGAACAGAAGGGCAGAUUAGUUCCCCGUGUAAUCUAAAAAUGAUCCAAAUGCCACAUCUGUCAGACCAUAUUAGCAUAUUUUCCCCUUUCACAAGUGAAGCAUCAAACAUCGUCCUCGAAUAAAGAAGCAGCUCUAGAAUAGCAGGUACAUCUAACAUGCUAAAUGCUAAUAACUACAUUUUUCUUUGAUUACGUCACAAUUGCAUGUCGGUACUAAUGGUGUUUGUAUAAAGUGCACAAUCUGAUGAAUUACACACCUGCACUGAUGAAGAGCGUGUUUUGUUGCACAGCUUCUGACCUGACCUUUACCGAAAAGUUAGCAAAUCCGAGUUAGCACAGCAAAGUCAUGUCAUCUCUCACCUUCUGUCCCCUCCUUUGUGAUCCAGCAGACUGUGUCUCAUGUCAAAACUUUUCAAUCAAUGUCCCCCCAAAUGAGACAGAAAGAGCUUGUGUAUGCUAAUUAGCUGAGAGGACUUUUGUAUGUUGACAAAUUGCUGAAAGGCAAUAUCUGGAAGAGAUUUGCAUGUCUAUUUAUGCAAAACAGACAUGCUCCACCUCUCACCUCCACACAAUAACUGCUUUUAUUGCAACAUUUUGCAAAUGUUUUGCGUAUCUCCUGUUGGAAGUUUAUGUAGGGUGUUCAAGAAUGAGUACAGAGAGGCUACUUGGGGUGUAAAGCUACAACAUUCACAAAAUAAGAAACUGAUUUAGCUGGAUGCUAAUUCGUUAGAGUGCUGAUGUUCAGAGAUGUUUAGGUUCAUCACGUAUGCUAGCAUGCUAACAGGCCUCCAGAAGCAGAUGAUUUUCACAGCAUAUCUGUUCGUUUUGUUGUGUGUGAAAGAACGCUAUUGACUCGAGGAUGAAUCUUGGCUUUCUUGUGGUUGUACUGAUGCCAGGCGUCCUUCAGAGCGUCGAGAGGGAGACCCUUGCUCGUGCAAACAGCCUCUGAGAAUAGUGAACGUGUGAAUGGGUUUUUCAGGCACACCUCGCAGAGGUUGCAAGGAAUGCACAGCACUCGCACCCUAAAAUGGCCGAAAUGACGCCAUUUUGUUUUCCCACUAUUUUGCUGUGAGGAAUAGCAGAAUCAGCUUUGUUAAAGCUACAGGAGACAGCUGGGGAAGCCAUGUUUUACAUCGUCUGUUUACCUCAAAAGCGUAGCUUACGCAAUGUUGUCUUGUUGAAAUGAGCUCAGUUUUUGGCAAAACGGGCGCGAAUUCCUGGCGAAGGAUCAAGACUUUUUUUUUCUUCAUGAUCCAAUGCCAGCCUCGCUAGAAUGAGAAUCCAGCGGUCUGCUUUCUGACUGGUUGUCAUCUGUUCUGCUGUCCUUGGGGCUGAGGUAGUAGAUUGAAUAGUUGUGGAGCCCUGCGCUCUCUCACUGAGAUAACUAUACAAUCUACUGUCUUUCCUAAGGCGACAGCCAAAUCAUCCACAAACACGUGUCUGCAUUCAUCCAAUGAGUCGCGAAGGAUUACAGAAGUAAAACGGGUUGGGAUUGAUGUGUCAUGUUGACUUCAUUCAUACGCAAGCAUGUCAGGCGAUGGGAUUGGUGUCUUGACAGGGUGAGGUAGUAGGUUGUAUAGUUUGGUGGGAGGGAUCAAACCCUGCUCAGGUGAUAACUAUACAGUCUAUUGCCUUCCUUGUUGUGCCAACUAUCUGCCAGCUAGUGGAAAAUCCCUGGAGCUUAAAUAUUGCUUCAACUUCACAGUCUGCUUCACACCACAUGAACUAUAUAUGUGAAUAUAGCGUGUUUUCAGCAUCCGUGUAUAUACACUGCCUGCAUAAACAGAAACAAAUACACCGUAGUUGCCACAAAAUAGGUUGAAAAUGCCCCAUAAACCUAUUUGUAGACUUUUAUGAAGCAGCAAAAUAAACAUGUUCUAUUCAGUAAAUCUGACUGAAUCAAGAGACUGCAAGUUAAGCAGUUUAUCUGCACUUAAUGCUUUUUGGUUCUGUUUUGCGUAGAUUAAUACAUAUUUGGAUGUAAAAGCUCAUGUAAAUUACAAUCAAUUACAACGAAAUGGCAAGUAACACAUUCAAUUAAAUGUAAAAUGUUGCAGUAGAAAGAUUAUAUGUUCUCCAGUAAUCUCUCUUUUGAUUGCAGUUUGCAAUUUUUUUUUUUAUUUUUUUUUUUGAUAAUUGGUAAUAAUAAGAAAUGUUUCUUGAGCAGCAAAUCAGCAUAUUAAAAUUAUUUCUGAAGGAUCACGUGACACUUAAGACUGGAGUAAUGAUGCUGAAAAUUCAGCUUUGAAUCACAUGCAAAUUUAUUUAUUUUUUUUUUUUUUGAAUAAAAAUUCAUCCUAUGAGAAAAAAAUUCAAUAAAAAUCCAACUAACCUCAUGAUGAACAGUAAUUUAAUGAUGAUCGUGUUUGUAAUAUUCUCACUCCACUAAACAUUUGAUAGGUUAUGGUCAUAAAUUUAAAGAAAGAUUUGUGCUGUAUAGUGGAGCAGCAGAAGCGUUGCGAGUGUGAAAGCACCGUGAGACAGCUUUGUGUGUGUUUUGUGAAACAGCCCUAACACUUUACCUAACAAGCCUGAACAACAUCCAUGCCUCUCCUGCCAGCUUAACAUGCUGAUCUAGUAUUACAUAUGAAGAGAAAUACCAGAUUAAAAGAGAUUUAUGGAGCUCGGAUUUAUGGCUUAAUCAACAUUUUGGCUUUUCUGUUGGCUUGUGAUCAAACAGGAUUUUCACACAUCAUAACAGGAAAUUCAGUUUCAAUCAGACAAUGCAUGUGGCCUUGUUCAGUUGUUCUAUGAAUAAAAUAGUUUUAUUCAACAAUA